CUGCCACGCCGCGGCGCCCGGCGAGCCGCGCUCCGGCGGCCUCUCCGUGCCCAGCAGAGCCAUGUGGGCCAUUCGCAGCUACCUGACUGCAAAUAACAACCAGAAUUUCUUGUAUACUGCAAGACCAUUUUUAAAGAGAGCUGCUUUGGUGAUAAGCUAUGUGAUUCUCAUUUUGUAUUUCCGCCUCUGGAUAAUGGGAGGAUCUAUGCCAAUGUUUUCAGAGCAGGACAAUCCAGCUUCAUUCUCGCCAUAUUUACU